UACGGAGGAUGCAAGCGUUAUACGGAAUUAUUGGGCGUAAAGCGUCCGUAGGUGGUUGGCCAAGUCUGCUGUCAAAGGGUGGGGCUUAACCUCAUAAAGGCAGUGGAAACUGGCGAGCUAGAGUGCGGUAGGGGUAGGGGGAAUUCCCAGUGUAGCGGUGAAAUGCGUAGAGAUUGGGAAGAACAUCGGUGGCGAAAGCGCCCUGCUGGGCCGGCACUGACACUGAGAGACGAAAGCUAGGGGAGCGAAAGGG
rnacentral:rRNA from 1 species